ACUGGAAUGAUGAGUAGUUUAUACCGCCCCAGUCUGAUUAUAAUGUGACUGAUUGGUACCCCUCUGAUCUAUG